GCCCGACUUGAACGGAGCUCUUUUUCUUUUCGUUGCCUUCGACUAAGCUCAGGCAACGAAAAGAAAAAAGCGGGAGUGGAAGGCGGAAAAGCUG
rnacentral:misc_RNA from 1 species